UUUGUAUGCAUGUUUUUUUUUGACUGGGUUGUAUGCAUGUUUUUUCAUUUGCUAUUAACUUAGUCAUGCGCGUAUAUGUAUGAUCUUAAGUCUAUAAAAUUAAUAUUGUUGUUUAAUGUAUAUGAACAGGGCAGACACACAUCGUUGAUGUUGUGACCUAAUAGUGUACUGCACAAAACAAGUGGUAAGCAAGUCAAAAGAAGACUGUUUUAAGUAUCUAUAUUACUAUUAAAAGAGCAAACAUGAAUUAGUCUAAACCCACCAAACUUAGUGUACACAAGAAAACCAGCACCUUUGAAUCUAACACACUUAAUUAUAUCUAAGAGCCCGUAUUACUUCGGUGGUCUGCCAUCGAAACGAAUGGAAAUGUUCUGCCAGUCUGCCACCAACGUACGUUCCCACGCAUGCUCGGUAAUCCGCUCACGAUGUCGUACCCCCGAACCAACAUCACGUUUCAGUUGAAAAAAAAAACAUCACGUCUCCGACUCCUCCCCUCCCCCAGCCACCACAGAACUCCUCCCUGUUCCCAUUGCCGCCGCCCGCUGCUCCUCCUCUCCUCUGCUACCCCCGUCGCGAGGAACCAACCUCCCGAAGCAACCGGAGCGGCAAGCGGCAGAAGAAUGGAGAGAUGGCAUCUGCGGCGACGGUGAACAAGAUGGGUCGGGCGUCCUACAUCUGGAUCAAGCACGAGGAGGAGCGGCGCGAGGCUUCCUGGAAGGAGCCCGAGGGUCGGGUCUUCUCCACCACCACACGCACCGAUGUCGCCGCGCUCCUCGGCGAGCCCCGCGACCAGAUCCUCGCCGGUCGUGCCUCCUUCGCCGACCUCGCCGCACAUCACUCCGGCUGCUGGGGACUGAAACGAACUCCAGUUCACGCUCUGUUUUGGUGGAUCUCACUACGCUCAUGCCAGAGAAAAACUAGAGAUGAGACACAUGUUCAGUUUUCUUUUCAGGCAACGAAUGCCUUUCUCUCUUUUGCUCUGGCCAGCAACAUAGUGAAUUGCAGAAAACAUCGACAUUGAAGGCUAGGGUUGCAGAAAUCACGGUUCUACAGUUUUGUGCCAAAAAUCACUAAUUCUGAGGUUAAUUUUUUGCAAAAAACACUAGUCACCGUCUUAGGACGUUUUGAGCACUAUUAUGACAGGUGGGUCCCACUGGAUAGAGUGACGUGGCAAAGGAAAAGGCAAAUUACACCCUAAUACAUUUAUGAUUUGCAAAGAGACCCUUGAAAAGAAAGCAAUCGGGUCCUCUGUGACGUUCACCUCGCACCGGUUCAGUGGUGGACGCCGGCGGCCACUCCCUCUCCGGGUGGCUACCGUUGAGAGCCGGGGGGAAGGUGGCCUGAGGCCGCCCCUGUGGAAAGAGCAAGAAGGGGCGGAUCCUACCGGAUCCAGUGCCUGGCGGGGACGAGGCGGCUGUCGGGUUCGCUGGCGGCCAGCCCCCAACAUUGAAGGUCAAUGGGCGGCGGCGGCUCGAUUCCCGGCCGAAUCCCGCCGGUUCUGGUGCAGCAUCGACGUCGUGGGUAUUCGCGACCGUGCAGAGCAGCACUCGGCGUGCGGGGAUGAGGUUGAGGCCGGCCCUUAAUUCGAACUACAGGCCUUGGGGAACUCGCGGGCGAGGUGGCCGGCCGCGGUUUCUCGCGGCUGGGGGCGGAGCUCCGGAGGCGACCCGAGGAGUUGGCCGUGAGCGACACAGGCAGGGGCGAGCUGCUCGUGGAGAGAGAGAGAGAGAGAGAGAGAGAGAGAGGAGAAGGGAUGUAGGGGAGGCGGGGUGGGGCGUCCGCCGGACGGCGGGCUCGCCGGCGAACUUGGGCGUCCAUGCCCAGGCGGUGGAGUGAGCUCGCCGGCUGGGCAGCGGGAGGCCGAGGCAGACCUUGUCCUCUUUUUUUCACAGCACCAACCUUAUCCUCUUAGUUCCUUUUACAGUUUGGUCCAUGCAAUUUUGUCUAUUUGUGAUCUGUUAUAUCGUGUCACCGCCACCCUGUUAAGCGGGACCCGUCUGUCAUAAUUGGACUUGAAACGAGCAAACCGGACGACUAGUUUUUUUUGCAAAAAAUUAGCCUCGGAAUUAGUGAUUUUUGGCACAAAACUGUAGAAGUGUGGUUUCUGCAACCCUAGCCUUCAAUGUCGAUGUUUUCUGCAAUUCACUCCCAGCAACAUAGCCGGCUCCCUCUCUUUUGUGUGCAGUUACACAAACACACACAUGUACGCAUGUAGCCAUGCUCAGACAUCCUCAGCGCACACACACGUCGCUACAGUGCAGGGACACACACAGCGGCCUACUGUCAAGUGUCAACUCCGCAUGCCACUACACACGAGCAUGGUCUAUACAGUGUCUAGAUUGCAACAACGAUUACAUUAACAGUUUGAACCGGGCUUGAUUUGUUUGGUUAAGAUUCAAUGAUGGUUUGGUGUUACUCUAUUUUUACUAUUGUUUCCUAAUCAAUAUUUCACUUAUGUGGUAGAAAAACAUUUAUCUAUUACGUACUUCUUCGUUGAGAGCCGAAUGUGCUGUUUGAACUGUUUUCCCUAGAUGAAGGAAGUACAGUUUGCAUGUACUAAACUUUUACUGUUAGUUUCAGAUUAUCCCAUUUCUUGUGUGCAUUUACUAGAUGCUUAAAUUAAUAUAUGGAUCAUCUUCGGUCCGGCAAAAUCUAUUUAGCAAAUUAAAAUUUCUCAUCCAGUGUUCAGUUAUUUUUCUCAAUUUAUUUGCUGCUCGUCUAUGUGUUAACCUGUAUUGAGAUUGUUUAUUAUAUAUAUUCACGCAUCAAGUGUCUAUGUGUUCAAUUUAUUUGCUGCUCGUCUAUGUGUUCAGUUAUUUUUCUCAAUUUAAAAUUUCUCAUCCAGUGUCCAGCUUCUGUAAUGUGAUGCAUCUAUUUAAAGAAUCUGGCUAAAAUUUACUACACUUGAUAUACAUUCAAAAAUUAGGUACUUAAUAAGGAUCCUUGAAUUUAGAAAGUCAUUACAGCGGGGAAGAGAUUAGGGAAGUAAUUCUAGGUAACACACCUGACUUGGAUCAGCUCAAAAUUGCUAUUAUGAAUAUAGUUUAUUUCACAUAGAUAAUAAACUAUUUGAUGCAGUUCUUGUCCCUGGAGAUUUGUCAAGAUCAACUAACGGGUAUCUUGAACCAUCAACAUCGCCUCCAGCUGACACCACCCUGUGCUCUGGGGAGUACACCGGGCCGCCGACAGCUGCUUAGGUGAUGGCAGCGGCCGGGGCUGGUCUUCUUCUUGGCGCACGUGCGUUACCUCUCCAAGAUCUACGAGCUUGGUGGCAGGUGCAAGAAAUUCAGGAAGUUGGGCAAAGAAGGGUCGUUCUGGAGGCCAUCACUGUUGCGCAUCGCCGUCCGGGCCAAAAUCUUGUCAGAUUAUGCGUGGACAUCAGCAACCUCGAAGCAUGCUACCUUGUUGGAAAUUAUCCGAUUGUAUUUUUGGGGAGCCGGGAGGCAGGAGGAAUGCUGGUGAUGACCGCGACGGUGGGUGACACCGCCGGGAGGCAAUGCACUCCCUGGGUGUCGUUCAAUUAAUCGGCAUUGGUGCCACCAAGGACGAUCACAACAGAUGAUAUUUUUCCUUCGUUUUUCUUUCUGACGGUGGUGGAUUGUUUGCUCCUUGAUGCGUGGAUUUUCAAAUGUAGGCUGCUGGUGAGGAAACAAAGUUGGUGAAAAUAUCAAAGCUGGACAAAAUAAUAGAAACAUUAAGCGCAGAAUGUGCUGUACCUAAAUUAGCUGCCUGGAAACAUAGGGCCUGUGCUAAAUGACUGAAGGGUGGGCAACAACUUCGAGCCGAGAAGUGGAGACCGGCGAGAUAGGGUUCGGCCAUAGCGUACUGCCUGGAAAGGAAGGCAUUGCACUGGAGGGUGGCGCAGGUGGUAAUGGAGGAGGCGGAGAUGAGUAUUGCGUCAGGCGGCAAUCGGAUUUAAGCAUGGAAGAUAUGGGCAUCGAUAUGAGAGAGGGCGAGAGCCAUAGGAAAAGGGAUCUGGUGAAGAAAGAACAUGAGAGAUGGGUGUGGGUCAGUGGGUGUUAUCGGCCUGGCUAGGCCAACGUGGUACAUGCGAACUUUUUUUCUUUUCUGAGUUGUACUAGGCUAAAUCUCACUAUAUUUGUACGUGUUCAUAUGUGAUUUCUUUUUCAAAACAAAAUAAAUAAUGAAAAUGUACAAUAAUGUAAAAUCAAAAUAAGCAUG